rnacentral:rRNA from 1 species
AGCAGCAGCCGCGGGAAAACGAAGGGUGCAAGCGUUACUCGGAAUUACUGGGCGUAAAGCGUGCGUAGGUGGUGGUUUAAGUCCGUUGUGAAAGCCCUGGGCUCAACCUGGGAAUUGCAGUGGAUACUGGGUCACUAGAGUGUGGUAGAGGAUAGUGGAAUUUCCGGUGUAGCAGUGAAAUGCGUAGAGAUCGGAAGGAACAUCUGUGGCGAAGGCGACUAUCUGGGCCAACACUGACACUGAGGCACGAAAGCGUGGGGAGCAAACAGGAUUAGAUACCCCCGUAGUCCCUGUCUCUUAUAC